rnacentral:lncRNA from 1 species
CAACCACUUCUCCUCAACCACCAUACUCCCAUCUCCUCUUUCCCAGAACCUUAAACCACCGCAGCCAUCUAAGAGAGAGUACAGAAGUACUGCUUCAGCGUUCAAACAGGAGGAGCUCGCGAGUUACGGCGUCGACUCAGCAAGAACCUACAAGACGCCAAAGAGCACAACCAGGAGUCGACACGAGAAUCCACUGGGAAAAUCCAGAUGAAGGCUGGAUCGGAGGACCAGCCGGUACGACGCAGAAAAGGUUGAACUCAGAAGAGGAGGAGAAGAAUCUUUUAGGUCAAAAUUUUUCUGAUUUGCUCAACGAAUCUUCCGAUUCUCAUUACCAGUGAGUUUUAAAUUUUGAAUAUGAACUUACGUUGUUUACUCAGUAUUUGAGAUAAUCGAAGAUGAAAAUUGAUUUCAGAUUCUUAGGAAUAUCGGCAGAAGCGGACGUUGAAGAGAUAAAAACGGCGUACCGGAGGCUAUCGAAGGAGUACCAUCCAGACACUACUUCUCUCCCGCUAAAAACGGCAUCGGAUAAGUUCAUGAAGCUGAGAGAAGUAUAUGACGUAUUGAGCGACGAAGAGAAGCGGCGGUUUUAUGACUGGACGCUGGCUCAGGAGG